GACGAACGCUGGCGGCGCGCUUAACACAUGCAAGUCGAACGGAAAGGCCUGCUUUCCCUUGUGGAUUGCGGGUACUCGAGUGGCGAACGGGUGAGUAACACGUGAGUGAUCUGCCCCCAACUUGGGUAUAAGCCUGGGAAACUGGGUCUAAUUCCCGAUAGGACUGCAGGGUGGUGCCUGUGGUGGAAGACGAUUUUCUAGUGGUUGGGGAUGAGCUCGCGGCCUAUCAGCUUGUUGGUGGGGUAAUGGCCUACCAAGGCGGCGACGGGUAGCCGGCCUGAGAGGGUGGACGGCCACAUUGGGACUGAGAUACGGCCCAGACUCCUACGGGAGGCAGCAGUGGGGAAUAUGGCACAAUGGGCGGAAGCCUGAUGCAGCGACGCCGCGUGGGGGAUGACGGCCUUCGGGUUGUAAACUCCUUUCGACCGCGAGGAAGCCACCUGGUUGGAAGGGUGGUGACGGUAGUGGUAGAAGAAGCACCGGCUAACUACGUG
rnacentral:rRNA from 1 species